rnacentral:rRNA from 1 species
CCUACGGGAGGCAGCAGUGGGGAAUAUUGCGCAAUGGGCGAAAGCCUGACGCAGCGACGCCGCGUGAGGGAUGAAGGUCUUCGGAUCGUAAACCUCUGUCAGCAGGGAAGAAAGGUCACUGUGCUAAUCAGCAGUGAAUUGACGGUACCUGCAAAGGAAGCACCGGCUCACUCCGUCCCCGCAGCCGCGGUAAUACGGCGGGUGCGAGCGUUGAUCGGAAUUACUGGGCGUAAAGCGCUCGUAGGCGGUAUGUCAAGUCAAGGGUGAAAGCCCCGCGCUCAACGUGGGAACUGCCUUUGAAACUGGCAAACUGGAGUGUGUGAGAGGUGAGUGGAAUUCCAGGUGUAGGAGUGAAAUCCGUAGAUAUCGGGAGGAACAUCAGUGGCGAAGGCGAUUAUCUGGCACAUAACUGACGCUGAGGAGCGAAAGCGUGGGUAGCAAACAGGAUUAGAUACCCGGGUAGUC